rnacentral:misc_RNA from 1 species
GGGAAAGCUUGGCAAAAAAAACUCAAACCAUACAGGGGAGGCCAAUCAUCAACAUCAUGGGAGCAGAAUCACCUCCUACAAACCAAAGUCUCCCCAGCUUCUAAAACUUGCUAACCAGAUGGACGGGAGAAAUGCAACAAACAUAGACUUAGAACAAGAACUUGGGCCGGUGCUAGACAGACUUUUAAACCGCUUGGCACAGUUAGGACCUUACAUGCGACGCUCUGACAGACAAGGUGACCUCAUCGGCAUCGAAUCUCCACUACUGCCAGCCAAAUUUCUCCUAUGAGCAUCACAACUCCAUCAAAGAGAAACUCUGACACACGGAACAAUCCACAUAAAC